rnacentral:rRNA from 1 species
ACGGGAGGCAGCAGUAGGGAAUCUUCCACAAUGGGCGAAAGCCUGAUGGAGCAACGCCGCGUGAGUGAAGAAGGAUUUCGGUUCGUAAAAUUCUGUUGUAAGGGAAGAACAAGUACAGUAGUAACUGGCUGUACCUUGACGGUACCUUAUUAGAAAGCCACGGCUAACUACGUGCCAGCAGCCGCGGUAAUACGUAGGUGGCAAGCGUUGUCCGGAAUUAUUGGGCGUAAAGUGCGCGCAGGUGGUUUCUUAAGUCUGAUGUGAAAGCCCACGGCUCAACCGUGGAGGGUCAUUGGAAACUGGGAGACUUGAGUGCAGAAGAGGAUAGUGGAAUUCCAAGUGUAGCGGUGAAAUGCGUAGAGAUUUGGAGGAACACCAGUGGCGAAGGCGACUAUCUGGUCUGUAACUGACACUGAGGCGCGAAAGCGUGGGGAGCAAACAGGAUUAGAUACCCUGGUAGUCCACGCCGUAAACGAUGAGUGCUAAGUGUUAGGGGGUUUCCGCCCCUUAGUGCUGCAGCUAACGCAUUAAGCACUCCGCCUGGGGAGUACGGUCGCAAGACUGAAACUCAAAGGAAUUGAC